UAGAAACCCCGACUUCGGAAGGGGUGUAUUUAUUAGAUACAAAACCAAUGCCCUUCGGGGCUCUUUGGUGAUUCAUGAUAACUAUACGAAUCGCACGGCCUUGCGCCGGCGAUGGUUCAUUCAAAUUUCUUCCCUAUCAACUUUCGAUGUUUGGGUAUUGGCCAAACAUGGUUGCAACGGGUAACGGAGGGUUAGGGCUCGACCCCGGAGAAGGAGCCUGAGAAACGGCUACUACAUCCAAGGAAGGCAGCAGGCGCGCAAAUUACCCAAUCCCGACUCGGGGAGGUAGUGACAAUAAAUACUGAUACAGGGCCCUUUCGGGCCUUGUAAUUGGAAUGAGUACAAUUUAAAUCCCUUAACGAGGAGCAAUUGGAGGGCAAGUCUGGUGCCAGCAGCCGCGGUAAUUCCAGCUCCAAUAGCGUAUAUUAAAGUUGUUGUGGUUAAAAAGCUCGUAGUUGAACCUUGGGCCUGGCUGGCCGGUCCGCCUCACCGCGUGCACUGGUCCGGCCGGGCCUUUCCCUCUGUGGAACCCCAUACCCUUCACUGGGCGUGGCGGGGAAACAGGACAUUUACUUU
rnacentral:rRNA from 1 species